rnacentral:rRNA from 1 species
GAUGAACGCUGGCGGCGUGCCUAAUACAUGCAAGUCGAGCGAAUGGAUUGAGAGCUUGCUCUUAUGAAGUUAGCGGCGGACGGGUGAGUAACACGUGGGUAACCUGCCCAUAAGACUGGGAUAACUCCGGGAAACCGGGGCUAAUACCGGAUAACAUUUUGAACCGCAUGGUUCGAAAUUGAAAGGCGGCUUCGGCUGUCACUUAUGGAUGGACCCGCGUCGCAUUAGCUAGUUGGUGAGGUAACGGCUCACCAAGGCAACGAUGCGUAGCCGACCUGAGAGGGUGAUCGGCCAGUCUGGGACUGAAACACGGCCCAGACUCCUACGGGAGGCAGCAGUAGGGAAUCUUCCGCAAUGGACGAAAGUCUGACGGAGCAACGCCGCGUGAGUGAUGAAGGCUUUCGGGUCGUAAAACUCUGUUGUUAGGGAAGAACAAGUGCUAGUUGAAUAAGCUGGCACCUUGACGGUACCUAACCAGAAAGCCACGGCUAACUACGUGCCAGCCGCCGCCGUAA